AUGGUAAGCCUCAUGGAGAAGUCUUUCAGGCACCCUUUCUUGUUUUCUCUUCUGGCAGGAGCCAUUUGUGAGAGCCCUUGGUCACUAGUGAUGGGAGGCAACAAGGGGAAUGCGUUGUCUCCAAGGUUGUACAGAGAACGAUUAAACGACAGGCUAUCAGCUUUCCAGUGUCCUUGUGGAAGAACUGAAAUGGCUCCAGUGAAAGCCCAAGGAAGCACGUGGACUUCAAAAGUAUAAGCUGCUGCUUUCAGAAGAAUGGCAGCUGCUUUGGAGAAUUGUAGAAGUGGAAACAGAAACAGAAAAGACUCAAUGGCAGCCCAAUCACAGUGGGUAGUGGGUACCCCUUCCCCUCCCUGUCCUGCUAUCACCCUAGUAUCCAAGGCCAAAGGCAUUGUGACCCUUCAGGCAGAAAAUCCCACAAACCUCUCUUGCUCUUUUCCUGGCAGUAAAACACAAUCAUAAUGAAUCAGUAAGGAUUAAAUUAGUCACUUCUAUAUCAUACCCCUGAAUUGAUGGAGCUCCUUUGCUGUGGCUAACGGUAGGCCCCAGCCCACCAAACCUAUACCUGCUGCACCUCAUCAGACCAUCUUGCCGGAGAAUUACAUGCUGAGGUAGGGAAAGUGGAAAAAGAUUUGGUGGGACUAAAAUGUCUGUUGUAAUGCUUUCUUUCUUUUCUAAUCUUAAUGUUCUUCUUUGUCAUACGUUUGUUUGAAAAUUAAUGUGGAAAUCAGCUCAGUGCUGGUUUUAUUGAACUUGACUUUUGUUUUGAGUCAUCAGAAGCCUUUUUGACAAUAUAAAGAAUGUUCUGUAGAGAGCAUGUAUUUCUGAACCAGCAGGGCAUUUUAUGAGAAAAUGGGUUCUAACGAGGCCCUUUGACAUUAAAUGCAACAAUGGCUAUGAUCCUAUGCAAGCUUACUUUGAAGUAAAUGGUAUAGAAAAAUCCAAGAGACUUAUUACUUUCUAGUCUACGCAGUUAGGGUACAGCUAUUGUGUUUCAUUAAUUGAGUUUUCUUGGUUCAAUAGCUUAUUCUUCUAAUCUUCUUCAAGCACCCCAGUGCUACUUCACUCGAUACUAAUGAUCACAUUUCAUAUGGAUACCCUUAAUCCUUUGAAUAUUCCUUUCAGUUCUUUUGCAAAUUUUACCCGACCUCUAAACGAAAUAAAUUAGCUUCUCUCUCUCCCCCCCCCA
rnacentral:lncRNA from 1 species